rnacentral:rRNA from 1 species
GUGGGGAAUCUUGCGCAAUGGGCGAAAGCCUGACGCAGCCAUGCCGCGUGAAUGAUGAAGGUCUUAGGAUUGUAAAAUUCUUUCACCGGGGACGAUAAUGGCGGUACCCGGAGAAGAAGCUCCGGCUAACUUCGUGCCAGCAGCCGCGGUAAUACGAAGGGGGCUAGCGUUGCUCGGAAUUACUGGGCGUAAAGGGCGCGUAGGCGGACAGCUUAGUCAGAGGUGAAAGCCCAGGGCUCAACCUUGGAAUUGCCUUUGAUACUGGCUGUCUUGAGUUUGGGAGAGGUGAGUGGAACUCCGAGUGUAGAGGUGAAAUUCGUAGAUAUUCGGAAGAACACCAGUGGCGAAGGCGACUCACUGGCCCAAUACUGACGCUGAGGCGCGAAAGCGUGGGGAGCAAACAGGAUUAGAUACCCCUGUAGUCC